ensembl:lncRNA
GCUGUGCCGCGGGGCAGAGGACUGCAGGGCGGGGCUAAUGACCACCGCCGCAGAUUGGGAGGCUCAGACGAACACCCUGUCCGUCAGGCCGACAAUCUGCUUCUGGAGGCGGUCGGGGGGCAGCGGCUUCUCGUUAGGACGCCAUCCGGCGCCCGGACAGAGAAGCUGGGGGGCUCCAGGCGCCUGAGUAUCGGCCCACCCCUCCAUUUCUGUGAAGUCGGAGAAGGCCUUCACUUCUGUGUCGAGGGGUGCCCACCCGCAGCAGUGAAGAAAUGCUGGACGGGUGGAAACAGGGGACACUGGGUGGCACGCCGGGAGGAAGACUGGGUGGGAAAGCACCCGCCCUGCAUGUCAUCCGACAUGAUCUCAACGAACAAAUCGUCUAUCCGGCGUGGCUUCUCUCUCGGGACGACCGCGGCGGUCGAAGCCCUGGAGCAGGAGAACCCCGCCACGGAGUCCGCAAAGACGUCCUCCGUCGAGAGGUCGUCGUCCACCUCGGUUUUUUCCUCGCCGUCGUCGUCCGGAUCGUUGAUGGCCUCGGAGAGCACCGCCGACGGGGAAAGUGAAAGGGGCCGGGAGAGGAGCCCCUCUUCAGGCACCGCGCGGCCGGCGGCGCAGGGACGGGGGUAGACACGGCAGCCGCCGCGGGUUCCGCGCCGAGGCAUCGGAAACUCGCCAGGUGCUCUUCACCAGGCAACAGAGAAGCGGGACAGGAGGAACAGUGAGGCCCAGCUCUAAUGGAAGCGCUUUUCAAUGGUCCUGAAAAGGGCUGUUUUUCUGUUGCCUCACCCAAGCCCAUAAGGUUUAUCCUAGAUGGCGUAGCCUACAUGAAAUAGAACUGGUAAAGCAAAACAUACAGGUUGCAUGUCCAUGACCAUAACGGGUAGCCCACAAGGCAACCAUUCACACAGCUAUUAGCGCUACGGCUAGCUAGCGAGUCAACUGUAGCUACCCAAGAGCUAACUGUUGCAUACUAACUUUACGGCUAGCUAGCUAGCAAACUAACUGGGACAUUAAUACAGGUGAAACAUUCAACCAGAAGGCCGCUCAACAUUAAAUACUAUAUUAAAAGAUGCGGCCGAUAAAAGCUUUCAGUCGGCUAACGAUUAGCGAUUGUUAAAGCAGUUCAGUCUUUCAGACCAGCCAAUAAAUGCUGAUUUAAAUAGCCAGAAUAUCCAGAAUGUUUCCCCAUUAAUGAACCAACAGCUGGGUCAAAAUGGGAGCGUGUCUAUGUUCCCCGGGUCCUAAUGUUCCCCGGGUCCUAAUGUUCCCCAGGUCCUAUGUUCCCC